rnacentral:rRNA from 1 species
UACGAAGGGGGCUAGCGUUGCUCGGAAUCACUGGGCGUAAAGGGUGCGUAGGCGGGUCUUUAAGUCAGGGGUGAAAUCCUGGAGCUCAACUCCAGAACUGCCUUUGAUACUGAAGAUCUUGAGUUCGGGAGAGGUGAGUGGAACUGCGAGUGUAGAGGUGAAAUUCGUAGAUAUUCGCAAGAACACCAGUGGCGAAGGCGGCUCACUGGCCCGAUACUGACGCUGGGGCACGAAAGCGUGGGGAGCAAACAGG